rnacentral:rRNA from 1 species
AAUAGAUACCCAGGUAGUCCACGCCGUAAACGAUGAGUGCUAAGUGUUAGAGGGUUUCCGCCCUUUAGUGCUGCAGCUAACGCAUUAAGCACUCCGCCUGGGGAGUACGGCCGCAAGGCUGAAACUCAAAGGAAUUGACGGGGGCCCGCACAAGCGGUGGAGCAUGUGGUUUAAUUCGAAGCAACGCGAAGAACCUUACCAGGUCUUGACAUCCUCUGACAACCCUAGAGAUAGGGCUUUCCCCUUCGGGGGACAGAGUGACAGGUGGUGCAUGGUUGUCGUCAGCUCGUGUCGUGAGAUGUUGGGUUAAGUCCCGCAACGAGCGCAACCCUUGAUCUUAGUUGCCAGCAUUCAGUUGGGCACUCUAAGGUGACUGCCGGUGACAAACCGGAGGAAGGUGGGGAUGACGUCAAAUCAUCAUGCCCCUUAUGACCUGGGCUACACACGUGCUACAAUGGAUGGUACAAAGGGCUGCAAACCUGCGAAGGUAAGCGAAUCCCAUAAAGCCAUUCUCAGUUCGGAUUGCAGGC